rnacentral:SRP_RNA from 1 species
GCAGACCCCUCGCGCGACGACAUCCUGCUGAACCCCCCCAGGGCCGGAAGGCAGCAAGGGUAGGCGGGCCCUGCCGGGUGCGUGAGGGGUCCUUCGC